UACGUAGGGGGCAAGCGUUGUCCGGAUUUAUUGGGCGUAAAGAGCGUGUAGGCGGCUAGGUAGGUCCGUUGUGAAAACUCGAGGCUCAACCUCGAGACGCCGAUGGAAACCAUCUGGCUAGAGUCCGGAAGAGGAGAGUGGAAUUCCUGGUGUAGCGGUGAAAUGCGCAGAUAUCAGGAAGAACACCCGUGGCUAAGGCGGCUCUCUAGUACGGUACUGACGCUGAGACGCGAAAUCGUGGGGAGCGAACAGG
rnacentral:rRNA from 1 species